GACGAACGCUGGCGGCGUGCCUAAUACAUGCAAGUCGAGCGAAAAGAUCAGGCGCUUGCUCCUCUGACGUUUGCCGCGGGGGUGUGAGUCACACGUGGAUACCCUCCUUAUCUGUGUGGGAUCAUUUCGGAACACGGGCGCUUAUCCGGGAUAAUCUCUUGCUCCGCGGUGUUCAAUGGUGAGAGACGGCUUUGGUGUCACUUAUAGCUGGUUCCGCGCGGCUUUAGCUGGUUGGUAAGGUAACGGCUUACCAAGGCGACGAUGCGUAGCCGACCUGUGAGGGUGAUCGGCGACACGGGAGCGGGGACGCGGUCCAGACUCCUACGGGAGGGAGCAGUAGGGAACCUUCCGCAGUGGGCGAAAGCCUGACGGAGCAACGCCGCGUGAGUGAUGAAGGUGUUCGGAUCGUAAAACUCUGUUAUUAGGGAAGAACAAAUGUGUAAGUAACUAUGCACGGCUUGACGGUACCUAAUCAGAAAGCCACGGCUAACUACGUG
rnacentral:rRNA from 1 species